rnacentral:rRNA from 1 species
UACAGAGGGUGCGAGCGUUAAUCGGAGUUACUGGGCGUAAAGGGCGCGUAGGCGGUCUUAAAAGAUUGAUGUGAAAUCCCUGGGCUUAACCUAGGAACUGCAUCGAUGACUGUGAGACUAGAGUAUUGUAGAGGGUAGUGGAAUUUCCGGUGUAGCGGUGAAAUGCGUAGAGAUCGGAAGGAACACCAGUGGCGAAGGCGGCUACCUGGACAAAUACUGACGCUGAGGCGCGAGAGCGUGGGGAGCAAACAGG